rnacentral:rRNA from 1 species
AGUGAACGCUGGCGGUAGGCCUAACACAUGCCAGUCGAACGGCAGCACAGUAAGAGCUUGCUCUUACGGGUGGCGAGUGGCGGACGGGUGAGGAAUACAUCGGAAUCUACUUUUUCGUGGGGGAUAACGUAGGGAAACUUACGCUAAUACCGCAUACGACCUACGGGUGAAAGCAGGGGAUCUUCGGACCUUGCGCGAUUGAAUGAGCCGAUGUCGGAUUAGCUAGUUGGCGGGGUAAGGGCCCACCAAGGCGACGAUCCGUAGCUGGUCUGAGAGGAUGAUCAGCCACACUGGAGCUGAGACACGGUCCAGACUCCUACGGGAGGCAGCAGUGGGGAAUAUUGGACAAUGGGCGCAAGCCUGAUCCAGCCAUACCGCGUGGGUGAAGAAGGCCUUCGGGUUGUAAAGCCCUUUUGUUGGGAAAGAAAAGCAGCAGGUUAAUACCCCGCUGUUCUGACGGUACCCAAAGAAUAAGCACCGGCUAACUUCGUG